UCAAAAAUCAGCCAAUAAGAUUCUUUCUUUUGACCAUGUCACAGACCAUUUUCGUGUUGGGCUUCUAAUAGUUUUUUGAUCUGUUAACUUGAAUUUGUUUGGCCUAUUUAGCCCAAAAUGAAAAAAAAAUCUUAGAAACGUGAGACGAUGAACUCCAGAUACUUUUGUGUGUUGUUCUUCGUCGUUUCCAAUUCUCUAACGGAUUGUCGAUCAAACGACACACGAUGACACGAUUCAUCUCUGUGUAAUCAAGCCUCCAUUUAUGGCUUCCUUUCACCUUUACCCUCUGAAUUUCUUAUAACCUUUCUUUCUCCAAAUCCAUUUAUCACAAAAUUGCCUAUCUCUUCACUAUUCCAAUCAAAAUCGAGAGAAUCCUCUUAAGAAGUCGAAUCCGCGAUGAAACCCGAUGGAAAAUCCCCACCGAUCAAACAUAACGGCAAAACCGGUGUCUUCUCCACCAAAGCUGUCUCCGACGAUCCUACGUAGAAGAAACCAAACGGCAAGGUGGUUUUCCACUCCGACUCCUCCGCCAAAACCUGUGUCUCCUCUGCAUCUGUCUCCGGUGAUCCUAUGUCAAAGAAACCAAACGGCAAGGCCGUUGUCUCUUCCCCCAGAGCUGAUGAAGUGGUGUUCUUCAGAGAUGUCGAAUUUGGACCACAAGAGGGUGAGUUAACGGAUACAGAGACAAAACUAGCAUAGAGAAGGGUCGUCCUCUAACCCCACCGACACCGCCAAGCACGCUCCAGAACCACCGGAUCUGAUAACGGAGACAACCUCAACUGAACUCCACCCUUGCUGGUGAAGAAGGUACAUAGAUGAACAAUGAGAUGGAGAAGAGGAGUAGCGGAAAAGAGAGAUAUCUAGCUUCGAGUUCUUUAUGAAUGGAACAUCUAAUGAAGACCAAUGUGUUUGCGUUUGGGGUUGCGUCUAGAAAUCAUAACUGGCCGUUGAGCUAUUGAUACAUCUAUACGGUAAAGCAAUGUGAUUUUGGGUAAUAGAAUCAAGUAGUCAGAAAACUUGAAAUGCAUAUUUUGCAAUAGUUUUCUUUUUGAAAAGGUCUCUUAUUGGUUUGCUAAUAUGGUGUUUUCAUUUUUUUCUCAGAAGCUAUAUAUGUUUGUAAGUACUAUAUAUCAUCUCAUAGAGUCUAAAAAGAUGACUAGAACUUUGCAUAAAUGAGUCUGUGCAUCUGGAACUUCAUCACUCUGCCUCAUGGUUCAGAUACAGUGAAAGUGGAGCUUAAUAGAUUUACAACGACAAUCCAUAGUUGUUUAUGUGUCGAUUUGAUUUUAAUUUUCUUGCUUUUUGUUGUUGUUGGUACUGGCUUGAUUUAUUAGUUUUUUCGCCCUAUUAUGAUGCAGAUAUUGAUUUGUGAGUUUGGGAAACCACACACUGAACUCAAAUCGUUAAAGUUUGUUAGAGAGACAUAGAGAGAAAGAUCUUGAAAAGGUUUGUUGUUAUUUGUGUUGUCUGUUUUUCUGUUUUGUGUUUGUGUUCAUUAAAGGAAGUUCAGUUUCAUAUGUCAGUUUAUUUCUUCCGUUCACCCAGAAUUUUAAGUUUUUAACUUUUUGUUAGUUAAAAACAAGCCAAUUAUCAGGAAAGUGUUCAUGUGUAUUAAUGCGGUGAUUAUUAUGUAUUAGCGUUCAGAAUUUUUACUGCCACUUAGUUUAUGGAUCAGUUAUUACGUUUAGAAUUUUACUGCCACUUAGUUUUGGAUCAAUUAUUACAUCAUGUGUUCUUCACUUUUAUGUUUUAAUUUGUCAGAGCUUUGUAGACAGUAUCUUCUAUUUAUACAUAUGAACUGUGUUGCGGAAUCUAUAAAUAAAAAAAAUCAAUGAGGAGAGGCAUCAAUGGUUGCUCAAUUUGCUACGGAAUCCACCUUAAGAAAGAUCCUUGCUGCAGAAAAAGAUGUUGAUGACAUGCCUCCAAUUGAAGCUAUAUUUGCUCCAUUAGAAUCUGAGCUUAAGCUUCCACGAAAAUAGGCAUUUUACAUGGCAUUUAUAAGAUUGACUUGAUUGUUCUCUACCUUCAUAUAGGGUUUCUAAAAAUUGACGAAGCCAUCAACUGCUUUGUUUCUUCGUAGAUGGGGAAGUUCAAUAAGAUAACAUGGUUUGGAUCGUCUGACUAAAUCAAAAGAACCUGCCGUAUUUAAUACUGAGAGGACCAUUGAAGGCACCCUCCCAAAAGCAGACAUGAUUGAUGAUGUCCAAAACAAGAAUAGUUCAUGAAACAAAUAGAAAUCUGUCAGGUUAUGUAGUCAUCAACUUAUUUUUUGUGUAUACUCUUAAGUUUCAACACGCUAGAAAUGAAAAAGUUAUAAGAUGAAAAGCUAUGAGCCUAUGAUGAUCGACAAAAACCAAGGUCAAAAGUUAAUAGCUGUUCUUUUGUACUUCCCAAAACCAUUGUUCACUUAGGAACAACUAUAUGUUUCUCUAUCAAACGUUACUUCAUUGAUGAAAAUCAUAGAAGAAACCCAAAAUUAUGAUAAGAGUUAAGAAGAUAGUUAAAAGUAUAUAUAUAUACAAUGGUUUUACAACUUGAAAAAAUUGGUAAGAGAUACAAAAAUAUGUUGCUUUGAUUCGAGAUUUAUGGAUUAAAAUAAUUAUUUGCUUUUAAAUGCACUAACAAAAGCUUCGAACUUCUUAACUAGCUAUUGGUCCACCUUAGCUUAUUAUUAUGUUUUUUUUAACCACAAGUCUAUUGUUAUGUUAUAAGCUAGGAACUUCGUAUUAUGUUACACCUUAGCUACGAACUUCAUAUUAUGUUAUAAAUACAUGAAAAAACAAUAAUCAUGUAUUGUUUAGUUAUAUACAUGUCCAAACAUAAAACAAUAUUAGGAAAGCUAUAUUGGUCACAUAUUUUAAAAGUAAAAAUAAGUCUCCUAAAUUAAAUACAUAUAAGCGUAACUAUAAAAUAUAUAAAAAAAAAUUCUAACAAGUACAUUUAAGGCCCAACUAAAGAAAAAGUAAAUGUAAUGUAGCUGGAGAGUUUCAUCAACUCUAACUAUUCCAGCGGAAGCGGGUAGGAUUCUAAGAAUUAAGAAAUGAGUAUGGAUGUUAUAAAGAAUCAGUUAACCUGCAGGGAAGAUUGUUUAAAAUGCGUUUGAAAGUGAACAUCAAGGAAUUUUAAUAGUGAUACAACAUUGUUGGAUAAGGGAUUAUAGAAUGCUAAUCACUGAGAGUGACUGUGAAAAAGCCAUAUUAAAGAAUGGUAAUCUCCACUUUGGAGCUUAUAACUGGAUCAGGGAAAUAUGAUGGUGGGUGCAAAGAUUUGAAGAUAUCUCAUUUACUUGGACGGGAAGAAAGACAAAUUCCGAAUGACAAUUUAUUUGUAUGUUAUUACAAUGUAUUUACUUUAAUUGUUCAUCCUCUUCAUGAAAGAUUAUGUAAACUCCACCUAAGUUUAAUAAAAUUAGUCGUUAUAAAAAAAUUAUGUACACUACUAUUUCUUACAUUUAAUUAGAUAUUGAUCCACCUUAGCUUAUUAAAAAGGUCCAAUACCACAAAAAUAAAAACUUAUCUAUUACAAUACGUCAAAAGUGUUUUGAAAUAAAACUAUGAAAAACUUUUAAACAAGAGAAAACAAGAAAACACACUUUCUUUAAAUUUAAAUACUUUCAAUAUAAAAAAAAAUCAACAAUUAAAUAUAAUAAGAGAUUAUAUAAAAAUAAUACAACAAAAUCAACAAUUAAAUAUAAAAAUCAACUAUAGUCUAUAAUAUUUGAUAUUCAUAUAACAAAUCAAUAAUUACGUAUAAAAAACUAUUAUCCGCGCGAAGCGCGGAAAAAAGAUCUAGUAAAGAGUAAAAGUUGACGUUCUCUCGCAUACUUUUUUCUGUUCAUUUUUUUAAAAAAAAAUUAUUCUUAAUUUUCUCUUUUACUCUAUUUAUUAUUUUUCUUUUCCUUGCAAUUCAUCCACUUUUUUUACUCUGGGUUACACUUCUUUUUACCAAUCACAUUCAUUAUGUAUGUCUAAACAUAUGAAGGCUAUGACUGAAAGAUCUUUUUAGAGUAAAUAUUUGAGUGGAAAAUUUAGUUACUCUAAUUAGUUACUCUCUUAAAUCACCAAUCAGGUCAAAACAUACUUUUUUUUAUUUUCUUCCAUUACUAUUGAAAUGGAGUAAAAUGUUACACUACACAUGAAUAAAACUUAAUUUAUUUAUUUUUCUCCCAUUUACUCUACUUCUCUCUCUCUCUCUCUCUCUCUCUCUCUCUCUCUCUCUCUCUCUCUCUCUCUCUCUCUCUCUCUCUCUCUCUCUCUCUCUCUCUCUCUCUCUCUCUCUCAUUUUAAUUUUUUCACUACUUUUCACCUUUUUAUUUUCCUCCAUUUACUUCACAAUUACCAAUCACACUCGAAGAUAUUAGUCCCUCAGAAAUAAAAGUAUUCACUGUAAUAAAGUAUUUUAUAUGCAGCUAAUAUGUUUCACUGUCGUUUGACCACCGAUGUGUCUGUUAAACAUAAAAGUUCGAGUCUUACUUUCUUUUACCGUGGAAUUUCAAAUUUAUCGAAUGUCAGCAUAACUAUUUUUAAUGUCAACAGAACUUAAUAAUAGCGUGAGACAAUUCUCUCAAAAAAUAAUAUUGAUAUCAGUGCAACUAAAAAUUCUCUGUGUAGACAAAAAAAUAAGUUGCUGAAAUAUAUAUUCAUAUUUCAUAUCACUUAAAAAAUUUAAUACUGAAAUUUAAAAUACAAUUUCUAGUAAUAAAAUACUUGUAGGUGGUUUCAAAAAAAUAAAAUACUCGUACGUGCUUUCGUAGAAGCAGCUAUGAAAUAAUGAAAAAAAAAGACUUUUUUCAAAAAAGGUAACGAAAAAAAA